rnacentral:tRNA from 1 species
AAGUGAUGGUCUCUUAAACCAAUUUAUAGUUAAUGUUAACUUUCAAUGA